CACACAAUAAAAGCAUUGGAGGAGGGUGCACAAUUUCAGGAGAGACAGAACCCAGGUGGCAGCCCAUCUCCAGGGCCAGGUGGAAGCUAGGGGAAGGCCAGUCUCUGCCCAUGUGCCUUUUAGAGGCCACGAUUUACUUUCUUUUAGUUCCCAAGGUGUGCUACCUAAAUGGCAGAUAGGGAAAUAAAUAUGUCCCAGGCGAGGCUGCAGGCGGCGUGUAAUCUGGGGGGCCUCCCGUCCCUUCUGAGACACCUUUGGUACAGCCCUUAGGCCAGAGUUUGUUACAGAUUCAUGGACAUUUUUGUAGGCUAACUCCUCUGCCCUAGAUUGAUGCACUCUGCGUAUGAAGAGCUGUGCUCGGUGGGAAAGCAAAGCCUUGCCCUUCCGUUUCCAAGCUCUCUCUGGAAACCUUCCUCCUGUCCACACCCAGGAAAGAUACCAGGGGUGAAUGGCAGGGGAGUUCUUGGUUCAUCUUGGAAAGAGACGUAGCUGUCCUUGAUCCAGGAGCUAGAUGAACAGGCCGUUAAAAAAUGCCAACCAUGUGUGUCAGUUGCUGCUGGAAAAAAUCACCAUGCUGCAUUGUGUAUGAUGGGCUGAGGGGUUGGCACGAGCCCUUACAAUCUGUGUGUCAGCAAGAGCCCUUCUUCUCUCCUGCCCAAGAGCAUCUUAUGGAAGCGAGUUCUCCCGGGGAGAAUGGCAGCGUGGGCCCUGGUGGCCAGGAGAAGACCAGCAGACAGACUUCUGCCUCUUUCAUGUUGUUCUUGGCCUCUAAGUCAGAUCAUUUAGUCCCUGUCUCCAGAGGGGUAAACUUCAGCCAUUUGCUUUUUCAGCAACUAAUACCUGGAAAGGGCUUGGCGGUACCACAGGGACUCUGUGCCCAAAUGAGGCAUUGGUCCCACUUUGUCUUCCACAGAAUAACAAUGUCAAUUACAAGAGCAGUUUCUGGCCAGUGAUAAACUCUGGGCUGAGUGCCCCUCAUUCGAUCUGGUUCUUCCACUAGUCAGUCCUCUGAGCUCAGCGGGGAGGGGUCCCCUUUCUGUAGCUGAGGAAGCCAGAGCCUUAGAGGUCAAAGGGCACCCACCCCACAGUUAUAGCAAGCACAUGGGAGGACCAGACCCCAAGUCUGGUUGACUCCUCGAUGCUGCACAGCGUGUUGGAGAGAAGGAACAUUUGGGAAGGCAGUCCAACUGCUUGGGUGACUCCUUUCACAGUCUCAUGGCCUGACCCCCACUCUCUGCAACCCUUCCUAAAGUUCCUUCUUGGGGCCAGCAGCAUCUCUGGGAGGAAAACCCUCUCCCAGCCCAGAGGCGUCUCCUGAAGAGCAGCCCUUCUUCCCCAGGGCCUUUCUCAUAACACGCCCCUCUUAUUCCCUCUUCCCAUUCUGUUCCUCUCCAAAUCUGUCCAGGGCUGAGUUCAUUAGCUCUGACAAGCAGUGGUGCUGCAGAAGAGGGGCAGUAAGAUGCAGAGGAGGACGGGGUACCAUCUGCCGACCCCAACCCCUUGGUCUUCCAUCGUGAUGUCAAGGCUCCGGGUUGAUGCCAAGACCCUGGGGGGGGCAGAGUAGGAGUGGAAUCAGCCCAGGGUCCUAGGACCGGCAUCUCCCAGGGACCGAAUCUGGACAAGUGCCUAGGAAUGACUGAAAUCAAAGAGCACGUUUGAAGGCUUGGAAGCAGGGAUGAUUUUUCCCUGCUCUGAUCAAACUGGAAUAUGAAAUCCCCAAACCAGAGUGUGGCAGAGCCCUGCAUGUCCAGGGAUCGAAGCAAGGUUGAGACCAGGUUGCAGUGACUGCCUCUUGCUGGUCAGGUCCUGUAUUUUCUUUUGAUGCCAUACCCACCCCCCUACCCCCCCACCCCCCGCACGAUACGUCGAGUCAUCUGGGAUGAAUGUCUGUCAGCCCGAGGGUUUCUGGGCGCCUGGAAGGGUCCUGAGGAAACUCCUGAGGUGUGGAAUAUCAAAGGCUCUUUUCCUGAAGAAGAGCGUUGCAGCUUUGUUAGCCCACCGGAAGCUGUGCCUGUCUCUUCAUUGAAGAGGCCGGGAGAUCAGACUGCUACAGAUCCACUCAGCUAUGGGGACGGACGUGUUGCAGAGCGUGAGGAGGAUGCUUCUGCUAAGUCUGAUAUCUGGGCAGAUGGAUGGUGUGGUUGAGUGGGAUUUAGAGGUUCAGUGCAGGCCUGUGAUAUGACCAGAGACAUCUGCGCUCAUAAUUCCCUUGGGAAGGCUCCAGUGUGCCCUGCUCCUUCUGCGUAGAGGUUUCUAACAGUGUCCCGCCCAUUCUUCUCCCCUUCCCCUGUACCUCCCCUGGGAACGGGCUACAAAGGCGGUGGGGCUCCGGUCUUCAGAAGUGUUCCUGUGGAACCCUGCUCCUGGUACUAAUCACGCUCAGUGGGGGCCUGCUCCGGCUUCCGCUUCUCCACGCUGCUUCCUCUGAGUGCUCCUGUCCUCUCUCUGACGCUGCUUCCUGACCUUGACUCUGACCGGUCGCCGCGGGGCUUUCCUUUGUGCUUGAUCUAACCAUGUGGUGGAACGAUGGAAACGGAACAUGGUUCUGUCAAGCACCGCGGAAAGCACCGCGCUCUCCUGCAGCAUGGCCCGCCGCCACCGCCGCCACCGCUGGACACCUCUUCUCUGCUCUGGAGCACCGCAGCCCAGCACCCGCCAGACCCGCCUGUCCCGGUCUAGCCUCACAAAGGGCAAUGGGGGGGGUGCGGGGGAGGGAACAGUCUCGAAGGAGUCCCAGAGCAAUCUCCACCUCCAGGUAGCAGAUAUGGGCUGAAAACGGGUACGGAGAAGCUAACUGGGGACACGCUAAGAUCUAUAUCCGCAUGUCCUACCCCAGGUGGAGUCGUCAUCCCCCAGAGCUACACUGAAUGCCAGCCGAGGGGUAAAGUCCAGGUCAAAGCUCAGAAACCACUGUUUUAUCUUCUAUUCAGAGAGAACAGGUCCCCGACGGCAUAUGCCCCAUGGUUUCAUGGCAGGGUUCCAGCGCAAGGUUUUUUCCCAAGUGGUAGCUAACCCAGAGGUCAUACUGGUGUGACCCACUCUCUACCCACCAUCUUUACCGGAAGUAUUGGGGAUGCAUGUGAAGCAAUGAGAAUGGGUGAAAGUGGCAUGAGUCUGAGACUUUGGAUUUAACCUGUGGCUCUUUUGAACCCAACCCCCACUCCUCAUGAGUACCUUGGCCCUAGGCCUCCACCCCCCGCCAUGCAGCCUGAAGUCCAGUCCAUGUCCUUCACCUCCUAAGAACAGUUGACAUGGUGACUUAGGUGCUGGGCUCCUCACAUGGUGCUGAUUCCAUGCCCCCAAGGGCUGUGCAGAAAUCAGCUGUCUCUGACAAUAAAGGGAUGGUGGCACCUGCCAUUCUGUUUGCUUCUUGGUAAAUCCUUAGUGUAACUAGAAGAUUGUUUUUGGUUCAUUCUCCCUGAGGUCACCCCUCAGAGCCAGGGCCUCACUGUUGCUGAGUACCCAAGAGUCCUGCGUGCCUCUCUGGGUGCUUUCCCCAUACCUUGAGUGCUGACUAUAGGUCAGGGAUUGAACUCUUUCCAUCAUUACUUUUUUUUUACAACAAGCUGAUAAGGCCCAUUGCACAGAAGCAGAUAGAUACCAAGUUAGAGAGGUUACCUGACUUGCCAGGGUCACAUGGCUGCUCUCUCCAGCUAUAAUACUCCACCUUCUCAGCUGUGGACAAACCAUUGCCUCAAAUUAUAAAAAGGAAAAAGAAUGAUAGGAUUGACUUGAAUUGACAGGGAGUGGGAAAAACUAUGUUACCACUCCGUUUCCAGCUCGCUUCUGUUAAUAGAGGAAAACGUGAGUAAGCAGGCAAGCAAGGAGCACGGUAUUUAAGUGGCUCCCCUGUCCAGCAUGGACAUGCCAAGAUUCUGUUUGGUACAGAACAAAACCCCCAAGCCUGGAGCAAUUCCCUAUCCUGAACAGGGGAGGCAUUCUGGGUUCUCGGAGCUUGUGCCUACCCUGCCAGGGGCCGGGCCUCUGCUGUGGGUCUACGAUGGCACCUUUCUGGGCACCUCCCUGGUUCUGCAGCAGCAGACUUGCAGGCAGGCAGUGCCCAGCCACAGGCCAUGGGCCUUUCCCUCUGCUCUCAGGCAGAUGGCUGCAUCCAUCAUCGAUCCUAAUAGGAAUAGGUUGCGAGGACAGCUAGCUGUCUGCCCCACUGAUCACCAAAGUCCUGGGAAAGCAGUGGACAUCUUCCAGCCACGGGUGUCUAAUCCCCUAGCCUCUGCCUGUGACCCCGUAACUGUGUGCCUAGCCAUGUUCUCUUGAUUCCAGUCAUUACUUAUGACCCUUUGCUUGUCCACAUGACUCUCUCUUCAAGCUGCUGGACUGCGCCCCCCCAACCCAGUUCCUCUCUCUGCUGCUUUCCUCCUUUCAUCCUACCCCUCCUAGGGAUAUUGGAGGUAGAAGAGGAGAGUUCUGGACACGUGCACUGGCAGGGCUGUGGUCGUCAGAUGGCAACAAAUAGGUGACUUUCAUUCAACAAACGGGUUGCCCAGAGAAUGACGCAAAUCGAACUGCUAAUGACAGGAGCCGUCCAGGGCCCAGCGCUGGCCUCAGCCUCCAGGGCCAUCCAAAGAAUGGGAGCUGUGGCUCCCUACCUGCCCCAGUCCCAUGACCAUACAAAUGUCAAAGACGGUCUCUCCUGGGAAAGCACCAUAGGGCAAGGAUUUGUAAUAAAACCACAGUGCUGUGGAUUUCCACCCCCUUGACUAUUAAAGCUUGUCUGUGAUCAUGUACCAAGUGUCGUUGUUCUGAGCUUCAAGCAGAAAGGAAGGAGGGCUUCAGGGGCAGGAGCUGGCGAGAGGCCUGAUGACAUCAGCUCUCCCAGGACCGUCGUUUUGUUUUAUGGCCCUUCUUCCAGUCCUCUGAGAUCUCCGCUGUCUGAACUCGCCCCAGAGAGAAGCAGCCGCAGCCCGUUCAGUUUCUCCCCUCCUACUAAGUAUUUCUGGCAGUGACAAAUAUGCACUGAGAUUGAAAUUGACUUUUAAAGCUCUGGAAAAGUUAAAAAUACUUUUGGGUAGUUAUGAGCAUUAGGCAUAACAAAUGGCUCCGAGAAACCCUGGGUAGUUUGGGUAAUGAAAUAUGAAGUACUGGGGGUGGCAUUUCAGGCUGGCUCUGGCUGGGGAAGGAACUCUUUGGGAUCUGGGCAAAUGCCGUUAUUAACAUUUCUGGCUCCCACGCCUAUAAAAUACCACAUUCCGACCCCCUCGUUAUGACAAAGCAGGGCAAUAACAAAAACAGCAGGGGGGAAAUGUUGGAAAGAACAUAUUAGUCCAUCGAAUCUAAUUGCAAAAUCAUUUCAUUAAAAUGGGUCAGCGGUUCCAUCGCAGAGGUCCACCAGUUAUAAUCUAACUAUACUACAGAGAGCGAUUCCUGCUAACUACAGACGCUCUCACCCUUGAUUAAAUGAAAACGCAUUUAAUCGGCCGCAGUCCCCGGCCACAGCCCAGCCGGUGUACAUCUUCAGGCUCGCUCUGUUGAAGAACAACCGUGCUCCCUCCUGUCUUCCAAAGGCAAAAUUUGAUCGGCGCUCAGGGUUCCUCUACUUUGCGAGGAUUCCAUUGUAGGCGCCUUCUAAAGGAAAAAUAACAUGCCUGCGUACGAAGUGUCCAUCCAUGCCAUCACCAUGUAGAGCCACCGGCAGGAACAAGAGAGGAUUGUCAUUUAGCAGGGUUUGCAAAAUGAAACUCACCCAGGACUCCGCACGCUGAUGUGUCUGGAGGAAGAUGGCCCAGGUCAGAGUUAUUCGGUGGGAUGGAUGCUGGCAAGCCAAGGGCAAGAGAUUUGCAUAAUGCAUUGGAUUAGGAAGCAGCCCAAAGAACUGUGGGCAUACGUGCACAGAUUUCGCUCACACAAACCUGGGGGUGGCAGGUGGGAUGAAGGAAGGGGGUGGGGAACGGGCAAAGAGGGAAAGGAGACAGGUCCAGGCCUCCGAUCCCAUCUUCAGGAGAAGGUCUCACUUCAGAAUCAGAGGACCACCAAGUUCAUCAGCUAUCAGGGAUUAGCGUAAAUUGAUGAGGUGAGGGGGUGAGAAGCCAUGAGCGUGGAAGAUGGCUGCUUCCUACCUCCCACUGCCCCCUGCAGGAAAGCGCUGUUCCGUCUCCCUCUGCCAAGUUGGACUCUAUAAUCAGUCCUAGAAAAGACCGGGAUGAAGGUUUUUGUCAAAAAUCCCGCACAUUUGCAGGAAAGCACAGUAUUGGUCACACAGGCCCUGGUAUCUGCCUGCCUGGGUUCGUCCCUCUGUGGUGUACCAAGGGCCCCAGUCUUCUCAUCUGUAAAAUGGAGUCACAAUAAUCUCAGAGUGUUACAAGGACUAAAUGGGCUCCCCCAUCUGAAUUUUGAAGAAUAGUGCCCGGCUCGUGCUCCAUGCUCCGUAAAAGUCAGCUAUGAUCACUAGCUACACGGAUGUUUUAGUGGCCUCCGAUAGGCCAAAUGUUCUACGAGGUUCUGGAAAAUAACAGUAAUAGGAUCACAAAUGUCCAUGCAGUUCUUUUCCCUUCCCCAGAGCCUCUCCACUGUCACGCUCUUCCUUGCAUUUGCACAACCAUCCCCACGAAGCGGGGGCAAGUCCAAGAUCCCCAUCUCCCACGUGGAGGGGCGGAGGCUAGUAAGUGCCAGAGCCUGGACAAGCCCACGACUGCUAAAGUUUCUGCACUGCUAGCGGCCCACACUGGCCCUACCGCGGAUCAGAUCACCAAGGUCCGCCUCAAGCCCUUAAGCAACCCCGUGAUGUUCACGUUCUCCAAAACACUCUGGGGACAUUCACAUACAGGACAGCCGGAGUGCGAACAGUGCCCUGCUUACACAACCGGACAAACGUGGACCAAGCCUGGGUUUUGUGCCUAGCACGGUGCUAAUGAACCGUUGACCCCUGUCAGCUGGGAAAAACCAGGGCUUCCCCAGUGACCGCUGCUGAGCCUGCUGGUCUCACAAGGUGUGCCCGGGUGCCAAGGGAUCAUUUCUAAUCAGUAAAGCGGCACCCCGGGCCUGUCCUGAGACGUCACUUGCUGAUCUUCUUGCUGUUACUGUGCGAUCUCAGGAGAGAUUCGAUGGCAAAAAUAAAUAAAUAAAUAAAUCUUCAUUCCAACCACUCUUAGCUCAUCAGAACUGGCUUCUUUCACUGUAGUUAAACCAACCUUAUUCUCAGAGACGGGACAAAUCACUUGGACCCUCCCAAGAGUUGUGCUUGUCUUGACAGUUUUUAAGUGUGAAUAUAUUGCUAUUACUGGUUUUAAAGAGGAUCCUCAGGCAGGAUUCACACGCAUUUAGGGCCCUGGGCUCCAAUUUCCCAGGUCUGCAGCCCUCAUUAUUGUUCUCCCAGUGCUGAGACGUGGUGUCAGUGAUCGUUGACCUCCAUACGCUGGGUCUCCUUUGUUGUUUCAUCAGCUGCUUGAGGAGAACUGAGUUUGUGACCCCCUUCCCUGACCUCAUCCCCCCCCGACACAGCCCCCAUCAAAAUGCCAUCAAAAUCUCUUCAUUUGGGAUUUUCAUGAACGUUUAGAGGGUCCACAAAUGAUGGGCAUCAGAACUAAGUACUCUCCACCCCAAAUUGUAGCCCAAAUUCUGCACAUGUGCACCUAGGAGCAUUUCUCUGGAACAUAAAUUUGCAUCAGCUUCUCAAAGAGGUUCAUGACCCACAAAAGCUUAAGAGCCCACAGAGCUUGAGCCUGGCUUCCCAGAGGACUCAAUGAGGGACAAAGACCAAAUGGACAGUGGGAGGGUGGUCACAAAUGAAGACAAUGCUGUGUCUAUGCCUGGGACAGCCCCCACCAUCACCACCACGUGUCUCCCAAUUGCCACUACCCAUAAUCUCGGCCCAGGCCGGGCCCCCCGGUGAUCCUGACUGCCCUCUUUGGCCCC